UACGGAGGGUGCAAGCGUUGUUCGGAAUCACUGGGCGUAAAGGGCGCGUAGGCGGCGCAACAAGUCACUUGUGAAAUCUCCGGGCUUAACCCGGAGCGGCCAAGUGAUACUGUCGUGCUAGAGUGCGGAAGGGGCUACUGGAAUUCUCGGUGUAGCGGUGAAAUGCGUAGAUAUCGAGAGGAACACCUGCGGCGAAGGCGGGUAGCUGGGCCGACACUGACGCUGAGGCGCGAAAGCCAGGGGAGCGAACGGG
rnacentral:rRNA from 1 species